AAAACAGUUAAAAUGGCGUCAACCAGAUUGCUUCGAAACGAUGCAUUGUGAUGUUAACAAAUAAGUAGGUUUUACAUUCCAUUUUAUGAAGGCUGCGAUUUUAUUCCUGCUAAUCUCAUCAGGUGCGCCAUGGUACAUCCGGAAUGGCAACCUCCAUAAAGACCUAAAGAUGCAAACAGUGGACAAUGUAAUCAAAAAUUAUGCAAAAAGUCAUGAACAAAGACUACAAAAUCACAUCAACAUUGAGGCCAUCCAGCUUUUGAACAACGAUGGCUUAACAAGAAGACUACAUCGAGUGAAACCCUAUGAACUAGUGCAUGGAAUUAAUCGUUGAUUUUUAACAAAAGAAAAGAAGUAUGCCUAUAUAUGUACACAUUAAAAUAGUGACUAUCCAAUGACAAAGCCGAAGUUAAUAUCACAGGCUAACACUUUGCAAAUGUACAUCUAGUAGAUUAGGUUAAAGAAGAGUAGCUUAUUGGUGUAAACUAGAUUGCUUUAACAAACUAAUAAAGAAAAAAUCUAGAAACA